GAUGAACGCUGGCGGCGUGCCUAAUACAUGCAAGUCGAGCGAACGGACGAGAAGCUUGCUUCUCUGAUGUUAGCGGCGGACGGGUGAGUAACACGUGGAUAACCUACCUAUAAGACUGGGAUAACUUCGGGAAACCUUAGCUAAUACCGGAUAAUAUUUUGAACCGCAUGGUUCAAAAGUGAAAGACUGUCUUGCUGUCACUGAUAGAUGGAUCCGCGCUGCAUUAGCUAGUUGGUAAGGUAACGGCUUACCAAGGCAACGAUGCAUAGCCGACCUGAGAGGGUGAUCGGCCACACUGGAACUGAGAAACGGUCCAGACUCCUACGGGAGGCAGCAGUAGGGAAUCUUCCGCAAUGGGCGAAAGCCUGACGGAGCAAAGCCGCGUGAGUGAUGAAGGUCUUCGGAUCGUAAAACUAUGUUAUUAGGGAAGAACAUAUGUGUAAGUAACUGUGAACAUCUUGACGGUACCUAAUCAGAAAGCCACGGCUAACUACGUG
rnacentral:rRNA from 1 species